GGCUUUGGUAGUUCUGGGAUUUCAAGCUUUGGCAUAGAUGGUACUUCAGGCUUUGGAAGUUCAGGGACUUUUGACUUUGGUAGUUCUGGGACUUUAGGCUUUGGUAUAGCUGGGACUUCUGGCUUUGGAAGUUCUGAAACUUUUGGCUUUGGCAUAGCUGGGACUUCUGGCUUUGGAAGUUCUGGGACUUUUAGCUUUGGUAGUUCUGGGAUUUCAGGCUUUGGCAUAGCUGGGAUCUCAGGCUUUGGCACACUUGGUUGCUCGGGUUUUGUUAAAGUUGGAACUUCAGGCGUUUUCACCUGAGGAACCUCAAUCUUUGGUGUUGCUGGGGUUUCUUGCUUUUUCAGGGGAGGAAACUCGGGUUUUGAUAUUGCUGGAAUCUCAGGUUUUGGUACUGCUGGAAUCUCAGGUUUUGGGAUAGCAGGAAUCUCGGUUUUUGGUAUAGCUGGGAUCUCAGGCUUUGGUAAAGUUGGUAAUUCAGGCUUUGGCAUUGUUGGGAUCUCAGGAUUUUUCACAGCUGGAGGAGCCUCAGUCUUCGGCACUGCUGGGACUUCUGGCUUUUUCAAGGAAGGAAACUCAGGUUUUGGCAUAGCAGGAAGCUUGGGUUUCGGCACAGCUGGGAUCUCAGGUUUUGGAACAACUGGCAUCUUAGGCUUUGGCAAAGUUGGUAACUCGGGCUUCGGGAAAGUUGGUAGCUCGGGCUUUGGAACAGCAGGGAUCUCAGGCUUUGGUAUGGUUGGAAGCUCAGGCUUUGGCACAGUUGGGAUUUCAGGCUUUGGCAAGGCUGGGACUUUCGGGAGUUCUGGUUUAGGAAUCUCAGGGAGAGGUGUCUCUAGGAGGUGGCGUGCAGUCGCACCAUUUAUGUCGCCAUGAAUGAAAAAUACAUUUAGAAAUGCAAGUAGUAAGAGAGAAGAUAGGUGGUAAUGCUUAGUCAUUUUUCUGCAGAUCAUAGAAGCUAAAAGAAGAAGAACGUGUAUAGAGCCAAUAUGAUUCGGAUAUGGCAUUGGCUUUAAUUUUGUUGCUUUAUAUAGGUUUUAAGAUUCGUGCUACAGGGACUUUUAGGAUUUUGUUUGUUACGCAAGGACCUGAGUAGUUGGAUUUCCCAUCCACUUAGCUUAUAGUUGGUACCUCAAAAGUCAAUCUAGAUGACCUAAAUACUUGGUAAUAGUUUAAACCUGUCACAAUCAUAUAGGUUAUGCUGGCAACCUGAUUAGAAUGAACUGAUUUCAUUUCUUUGAAAACAACCAAAGUACUCAUUUUUUACUGCAAAACUUCAUUUUGGUGUGUACGUAAUAACUCGUCGUUGCUGACAAAAACUACCAAAACAUAAAACUAUCAUUAGAGAAGAGAUACAGCUUCAAAUUUCCCUUGUUUAAUGUAGACUAGAAUAUCCACUCUAAAGUUCUUCCACAAUCAUGUGUACACUUCUUAUAAUUAUUCGAAUAAUUGUAAGAAGGAUGCCCGUUGGUUCAUUGAUGAAUUAAAGCACUUACUUUUGCCAGCGAACUUCGACAGCUACUAAGUACUGCAAUCUUUCAUUUUUAUAUUUUUUGAGUUUUACUGUUUAAUGAAAAGUUGAUGCCUGGUAGGAUUGAUCUGACAUCCUACCUUUUGUAAGGGAAAACUAAACAGGCGAGCAGCAUCAACUUUUGUGUACAGAAGGGUGAAUAAAUAACUGCAGACUCUACCUGGAUUCAAUUAUUUCAUCACAAUGUAAAACCUAAAGUUGAAAACUAUAUAUUCGAUACAAUUUCGUUGGGGGCAUAUAUAUUGCUUUCUCCAUGAAGAAUUUGAUUAAAAUUGAAUUGUAAAAUGAAAUGAGUAAUGAGUUUUUGAGUGUUGUUUAGUGUUUUUAACUUAAUACAGAAAAAUAUGUAUUUAGUACUGUUUCCAAAUGAGACUACUAUGAUUUUAAAAAUAAUAAUACUAUUAUGAGAACUCGUCAAAGAGAAUUAUAGUAAUAGACUAACAGAGUAUUUUUUAACAUGGUGUCGAUACAAUAUUUGUUCAUGUUUAUUCUUUGAAAUAUCGACACGCUUACGAGUACACCACUGAUUGCAUACAGCUUUGGAAUGCCUGGAAUUUCAGGUUUGGGAUAGUUAAUAUUUCAGGCAUUGGCAUAAUAUAUAAUUUCAGGCUUCUGCAUUGUUAAAAUCUCAGGCUUUGACAAGGCUGGAAUAUUUGGGAAUUCUAGUUUAGGUGUCUCGGGGAAAGGCAUCUCUAGAAGGCCGCUUGUGUAGUGCAACAGUUAACUGGCCAAAAACGAAGCAUAAAUUGUUCUUCUCUUUCUUUUAGAGCAGGCGAAGCUAAGGUAACUGAAUACAUUUAAUGUGCAUUAGGGAACAAGACUAGUUAAUUCACCAGUUCGGUUCUACGCUAAAAAUGUGAGGUCUGUUCUAUCUGUGGCAUUAAAUAUACUAAUUCAUCCUUUAUUCCAUACUCUUUGAAAUGUGAUGGAAGAAAUUGGUUCCUAUAAUUUAGGAAAGGAAAACGGAGACAGAAAGAUUGGACAAACAACAAUUGAGCAAGUACAGAGAUGGCCAAUGGUAGGAACUAAACCAAAGUAACAAAGAUCAAAGCUUUAUUACACUGUAUAUAUAGAAAGUACAUAAAACAGAAAUAUAAUAUAAUGACACAUCAAACAUGGUACAUCCAAUUCAAAUACUACUAUAAAAGAAUUACAAUUUCUACACCUAGCAGGAAGUAUCCAAUACUAUCUCCAUGUGAUGGAAAUUCCAAAAUAUCAGUUGGGUACUUUCUUAUAGAGUGAAAGUAGUAUAUAAUUUACUCAAGGAUUAGCGGGUUUGUAGGGUGGAGAAAGUGAAGGAAGAGUUGGUUUAGGCAGUUUUGGAAUUUCAGGCUUUGGCAUAGUUGGGACUUGUAGCUUUGGAAUCUCAGGAAUUAUUGGCUUUGGUAGUUCUGGGAUUUCAGGCUUUGGCAUAGAUGGUACUUCAGGCUUUGGAAGUUCGGGCAUUUUGGGCUUUGGUAGUUCUGGGAUUUUAGGCUUUGGCAUAGCUGGGACUUCUAGCUUUGGAACUUCGGGUACUUUUGGCUUUGGCAUAGCUGGGACUUCUGGCUUUGGAUGUUCUGGGACUUUUGGCGUUGGUAGUUCUGGGAUUUCAGGCUUUGGCAUAGCUGGGAUCUCAGGCUUUGGCACACUUGGUUGCUCGGGCUUUGGUAAAGUUGGAACUUCAGGCUUUAUCACCGGAGGAACCUCAGUCUUUGGCAUUGCUGGGAUUUCUUGCUUUUUCAAGGGAGGAAACUCGAGUUUUGGUAUUGCUGGAAUCUCAGGCUUUGGAAUCUCGGGUUUUGGUAUUGCUAGAAUCUCAGGCUUUGGCAUAGCAGGAAUCUCGGGUUUUGGUACUACUGGAAUCUCAGGCUUUGGCAUAGCAGGAAUCUCAGGUUUUGGUAGUGCUGGAAUCUCAGGCUUUGGGAUAGCAGGACUCUCGGGUUUUGGUACAGCUGGGAUCUCAGGCUUUUUCACAGUUGGAGGAACCUCUGUCUUUGGCACUGCUGGAACUUCUGGCUUUUUCAAGGAAGGAAACUCGGGUUUUGGCAUUGUUGGAAUCUCAGGCUUUGGCAUAGCAGAAAGCUCGGGUCUCGGCACAGCUGGGAUCUCAGGUUUUGGAACAACUGGCAUCUUAGGCUUUGGCAAAGUUGGUAACUCGGGUUUUGGUAUUGUUGGAAGCUCAGGCUUCGGCACAGUUGGGAUUUCAAGCUUUGGCAAGGCUGGAACUUUCGGGAGUUCUGGUUUAGGCGUCUCUAGGAGGUGGCGUGCAGUCGCACCAGUUAUGUUGCCAUAGAUGAAGACUAAAUUGAGAAAUGCAAGUAUUAAGAGGGAGGGUACAUGGUAAUGCUGAGCCAUUUUUCUGCAGACCAUAGAAGCGAUGUGAUUCAGAUGUGGCAUUCGCAUUAAGUCUGUUGCUUUAUGUAGGUUUUAAGAAUGCAUGCAACAAGAACUUUCUUGAUUUUGUUUGUUACGCAAGGACGUGAGUAGUUGAAUUUCUCAUCAACUCAGCUUCUAUUUGGUACCUCAAAAGUCAGUCUGGAUCACCUAAUUACAUAGUAGCUUAAACCUAUCACAAGCAUAUAGGUUAUGCUGGUAACCUGAUAAUAUUAAACUGAUUUCAUUUAUUUGAAAAGAGAAAUAAGUGGUCACUUUGUACCGCAAAUCUUCAUUUUGGUGUGUACGUAAUAACUCUAGGACAGACAAAAACCAGCAAAUGUCAAGGAGUGGGUAUAAUGGAAUAAUUUCACUAUUAUUAGCAUAUUACCCAUUAUGGUCACCUCUGAACUAGCCAACUAUUAGAAUUAUAAUGUAAAAUAACUUCCUCUCUCGAUCUUCCUUGUUUCGUCUUAGUUAUUUUCGCUACAAAUUAAAAGAGUGACACUCAUGUCUAUCGAAUCAAAGAGGACUAUUGGUCUUGCCUGAGUUUACAGAGCCAUAAACGAAGAUGAUGGCUAUUCGACAUAAAGAUGGUCGAAUUGGCGAAUUCAAGCAUUUAAAAAGGCGAUGCCCAGUAGGAUUGCUCUGACUUUCUACCUUUUCUAUGGAAAAACUAAACCAGCGAAUGACAUCAACUUUUGUGUACGAAAGGGAUAGUAAAAAACUGCAAACCUACUUGGAUCCAAUUAUUUUACCGCACGUAAAACCUUAAGGUAGAACUGUUCGAUAGAAUUACUUGGGACUUGGCGUAUAUUGCUUUCUUGAUAAUAAAGUUGAUUAAGAUCGAUUUGUGAAAUCAAUUGAAUGAUGUUUUUGAGGUUGUUAUAAGAUGUUUUUACCUUAUACAGCAAAAUAUUAAUUUAGUACGAUUUCCAAUGAGACUAUUAUGAUCAAAAAAGUACUACAUUUUAAAAAAUGAAAACUCGUGGAUGGAUGACACCAUUGACAUGUGAGAUUAAUUUUCAAUGGUCAAAUUUUUAAACCCUGCUCAUUGCUUUAGUUGCAUUGGCAAUUACUCAAAUGGAUGCACAAAAGAGAUGUACUGAAAUUCAGAAUCCAAAGGGAUAGGUUCUUUCUGGGAAUGAACUUUGCUCGAGUGGUGGUACUAUUGGCCAAUUUGUUUGCACCUGUGUUAUAAUUGUAGUCUUGAUGAUCUUCACUCCACUUAAUAAAUUAACUUUGAUUCAUUUUGAAGGUUGUUCUUUAUUUAUUGAUUAAUUAACAGGAUAUUUCGUCCAAAAAAAAAAAGCCUCGUGGAUGAGAGUUAAAGUAAUAAAGUAAUAUUUUUGAUAUAAUGUUGUUACAAUUGCUCUUUGUUUACUCUUCGAUCUACACUGCUUACUAAAAAUCUCGAGUCACCACCGACUGCAUAUAGCUUUGAAAUACUGGAAUUUCAGGUUUGGUAUAGUUAGUACUUCAGGCAUUGGCAGGAGGAUUUGGAACAAAAAGAAUCCAAAGCUUUGGCAAGGCUGGAAUAUAUGGGAAUUUCGUUUAGGAAUCUCAGGAAUGGCGUCUCUCUAAAAGGCGGCUCAUGUAGUUGCACCAGCUAACUGGCCAUGCAUGAAGCAUAAGUUGUUCUUAUCUUUCUUUUGGAUCAGGCGAAAUAGAUGUAAACGGACUCCAUUUAAUGUGCAUUAGGAUGAACGAAACAAAAAGCAAAAUUAGUUAAAUCAUCAGUUUGGUUCUACACCAAGAAUGUGAAGUUCACUCCAUUUGUGGCACUUAAUUAUACUAAUUCAUCCAUUAUUGCACCUUCUUGAAAUGUGAUGGAAGAAAUUGGUUACUAUAUAUUAGGAAAGGAAACCGGUGAGGGAAAGAAUGGACAAACAACAAUUGAGAAAAAACAGAGAUGACCGAUGAUAGGAACUAAACAAAAGUAACAAAGAUCUAAGCCUUAUUACACUCUAUAUAUAGACAGUACAUAAAACACUCAUUUAUUAUAAUGAUAAAUGAAACAUGGCACAUCCAAUUCAAAUACUACUAUAAAAGAAUUGCAGUUUCUACUCCUAUCAGAAAGUAUCCAAUACUUUCUCCAAUGCCAUGGCGCAGGUUGCAAACUUCAUAGACUCGGAUGGAAUCACAAAACAUCAGUUGGGUACUUUCUAAUAGAACGAAAGUAGCAUAUAAUUUACUCAAGGAGUAGCGGGUUUGUAUGGCGGAGAAAGUGAAGGAAGAAUUGGUUGAGGCAGUUCUGGAAUUUCAGGCUUCGGCAUAGUUGGGACUUUUAGCUUUGGAAUCUCUGGAACUUUUGGCUUUGGUAGUUCUGGAAUUUCGGGCUUCGGCAUAGAUGGUACUUCAGGCCUUGGAAGUUCAGGGACUUUUGGCUUUGGUAGUUCUGGGAUUUCCGGCUUUGGCAUAGCUGGGACUUCUAGCUUUGGAAGUUCGGGGAUUUUUGGCUUUGGCAUAGCUGGGACUUCUGGCUUUGGAAGUUCUGGGACUUUUGGCUUUGGUAGUUCUGGGAUUUCAGGCUUUGGCAUAGCUGGGAUAUCGGGCUUUGGUAAAGUUAGAACUUCAGGCUUUUUCACCGGAGGAACGUCAGUCUUUGGUGUUCCUGGAAUUUCUUGCUUUUUCAAGGGAGGAAACUCAGAUUUUGGUAUUGCUGGUAUCUCCGGCUUUGGUACUACUGGAAUCUCGGGCUUCGGCACUACUGGAAUCUCAGGCUUUGGCAUAGCAGGAAUCUCGGGUUUUGGAAUAGCUGGGAUCUCAGGCUUUGGUAAAAUCGGUAAUUCGGGCUUUGGCAUAGUUGGGAUCUCAGGCUUUUUCACCGUUGGAGGAACCUCUGUCUUUGGCACUGCUGGGACUUCUGGCUUUUUCAAGGAAGGAAACUCAGGUUUUGGCAUUGUUGGAAUCUCAGGCUUUGGCAUAGCAGGAAGCUUGGGUUUCGGCACAGCUGGGAUCUCAGGUUUUGGAACAACUGGCAUCUUAGGCUUUGGCAAAGUUGGUAACUCAGGCGUAGGAACAAUUGGUAUUUCAGGUUUUGGCAUGCUAGGAAUCUCAGGCUUCGGUAUGGUUGGAAGCUCAGACUUCGGCACAGCUGGGACUUUCGGGAGUUCUGGUUUUGGAAUCUCAGGGAGGGGUGUCUCUAGGAGGUGGCGUGCAGUCGCACCAGUUAUGUUGCCAUAAAUGAAGACUAAAUUGAGAAAUGCAAGUAUUAAGAGGGAGGAUACAUGGUAAUGCUGAGCCAUUUUUCUUCAGAACUUAGAAGCUAAAACAAAGUAUGAUGUGUAUAAGAGUCGAUGUGAUUCGGAUGUGGCAUUGGCAUUAAGUCUGUUACUUUAUAUAGGUUUUAAGAAUGCAUGCAAGGAGGACUUUCUUGAUUUUGUUUGUUACGCAAGGGCAUGAGUAGUUGAAUUUCUCAUCAACUCGGGUUCUAGUUGGUUCCUCAAAAGUCAAUCUGGAUUACCUAAUUACAUAAUAGUUUAAACCUAUCACAAGCAUAGAGGUUAUGCUGGCAACCUGAUAUUAUUAAACUGAUUUCAUUUAUUUGAAAAGAGAAAAAGUAUUUCACUUUUUACAUCAAAUCUACUGGACAACACUGCCAAAAACUACCAAAUGUCCUAACAGAAACGUGAUUACUUUAUCUUUCGAACUUUAGGAUUAAUGCUUUACUGGUUCACAUCACCAUUAGAGGAAAUGGGUGACAAGAAGUGGGUAUAAUGGAAUAAUCACCUUAUUAUUAGCAUAUUACCCAUUAUGGUCAUCUCUAAACUAGCUAUAAGAAUUAUAAUGCAAAAUAACUUCCUCUCUCGAUCUACCUUUGUUUUGUCUUUGUUAUUUUCUCUAAAAAUUAAAACAGAAGCAGCUUAAUGUCUAUCGAAUCAACGCAGACAAUUGGCUUUGGCUGAGUUUACAGAAACAUAUGGCUAUAAAAUGAUAGAACUGACAAAUUCAAGAACUUAAAAAGGCGAUGCCCGGUAGGAUUGAUCUGACGUUCUACCUUUUUUAAGGAAAAACCAAAUCAGCGAAUGACAUCAACUUCUAUGUACGAAAGGGAUAAUAAAUAACUGCGAACCUACUUGUAUUCAAUUAUUUCACCACAUGUUAAACCUUAUAGUUGAAAACUAUUCAAUAAAAUUACUUGGGACUUGGUGUAUAUUGCUUUCUCGACGAUGAAGUUGAUUAAGAUUGAUUUGUGACAAAUGAAUGAUGAGUUUCUGAGUGGUUGUUAUUAGGUGCUUUUACCUUUAUACAGAAAAAUAUGUAUUUAGUACUAUUUCUAAUGAGACCAAUAUGAUUAAAAAAAUAAUCCAUUUGAAAAAUAAAAACUCAUGGAUGGAUGACAUAAAUGACAUUUGAAAUUAAUUUUCAAAGGUCAAAUUUUUUAACUCUGCUCUUUGUUUCCUUCUCAUUGUUUCAGUUCUAUUGGGAAUUAAUCAAGUGGAUGCACAAAAGAGAUGUACUGAAAUUCAGAAUCCAAAGGGAUGUGUUCUUUCUGGGAAUGGACUUUGCUCAAGUGGUGGUACUACUGGCCAAUUUGUUUGCACCUGUGUUAUUAUUGUAGUCUUGAUGAUCUUCACUCCACUUAAUUUAUUAACUUUGACAUAAUUUUGAAAGUUGUUCUUUAUUUAUGGAGUAAUUAAAAGGAUAUUUCAUCCGAAAAAAAAAAAAAAAAAGCCUCGUGGGUGAGAAUUAUAAAGUAAUAUUUUUAAUAUGUUGUUAGAAUAUUUAUUUUUUGUCUACUCUUCAAAUAUGACACUGCUUACUAAAAAUCUUGAGUACACCACUGAUUGCAUAUAGCUUCAGAAUACUGAAAUUCCAGGUUUGGUAUAGUUAAUACUUCAGGUCACAGGUUCAAGCCUUGGAAAUAGACUCGGGCAGAGAUGCAAGUUAAGGCUGCAUACAAUACACUCUUGUGGUGGUGCCCUUUCCCGAAUCAUGCACAUAGAGGGAGCUUUUGUGCACCGGGCUGCCCUUUUUCUGGUUUAGGAAUCUCAGGAAUGUAGCUGCACCAGCUAACUGGUCAUGCAUAAAGCAUAAGUUGUUCUUAUCUUUCUUUUGGAUCAGACGAAUAGUGGUAAGCUGAAUCCAUUUAAUGUGCAUUAGGAUGAAUGAAACAAAAAGUAAAAUUAGUUAAAUCAUCAGUUUGGUUCGACCAUAAAAAUGUGAAGUCCACUCUAUCCUGUGGGACUUAAUUAUACUAAUUCAUCCAUUAUUGCACUCUUGAAAUGUGAUGGAAGUCAGUUACUAUAAAUUAGGAAAGAAAAACGGUGAGGGAAAGAAUGGACAAACAACGAUUGAGCAAAUCAAGAGAUGACCAAUAAUAAGAAUUAAACCAGAGUAACAAAGAUCAAAGCUUUAUUACACAAUACAUAUAAAAAGUACAUAAAAAUAACUCACAUAGUACAAUGAAAUAUCAAACAUGGUACACCCAAUUCAAAUACUACUGUAAAAGAAUUGCAAUUUCUACUCCUAGCAGAAAGUAUCCAAUACUUUCUCCAAUGUCAUGGCUCAGGUCACAAACUUCAAAGACUAGGAUGGAAUGGAAAAACAUCAGUUGGGUACUUUCUGAUAGAAUGAAAGUAGCAUAUAAUUUACUCAAGGAGUAGCGGGUUUGUGUGGUGGAGAAACUGAAGGAAGAGUUGGUUUAGGCAGUUCUGGAAUUUCAGGCUUCGGCAUAGUUGGGACUUUUGGCUUUGGUAGUUCUGGGAUUUCAAGCUUUGGCGUAGAUGGUACUUCAGGCUUUGGAAGUUCGGGGACUUUUGGCUUUGGUAGUUCUGGGAUUUUAGGCUUUGGCACAGCUGGGACUUCUGGCUUUGAAAGUUCUGGGACUUUUGGUUUUGGUAGUUCUGGGAUUUCAGGCUUUGGCACAGCUGGGAUCUCAGGCUUUGGCACACUUGGUUGCUCGGGCUUUGGUAAAGUUGGAACUUCAGGCUUUUUCACCGGAGGAACCUCAAUCUUUGGUGUUGCUGGGAUUUCUUGCUUUUUCAAGGGUGGAAAC
rnacentral:lncRNA from 1 species